rnacentral:rRNA from 1 species
UGGGGAAUUUUGGACAAUGGGCGAAAGCCUGAUCCAGCCAUGCCGCGUGUCUGAAGAAGGCCUUCGGGUUGUAAAGGACUUUUGUCAGGGAGGAAAUCCCUAGUGCUAAUAACACUGGGGGAUGACAGUACCUGAAGAAUAAGCACCGGCUAACUACGUGCCAGCAGCCGCGGUAAUACGUAGGGUGCGAGCGUUAAUCGGAAUUACUGGGCGUAAAGCGUGCGCAGGCGGUUUGAUAAGCCAGAUGUGAAAUCCCCGAGCUCAACUUGGGAACUGCGUUUGGAACUGUCAGACUAGAGUGCGUCAGAGGGGGGUGGAAUUCCGCGUGUAGCAGUGAAAUGCGUAGAGAUGCGGAGGAACACCGAUGGCGAAGGCAGCCCCCUGGGAUGACACUGACGCUCAUGCACGAAAGCGUGGGGAGCAAACA